rnacentral:lncRNA from 1 species
CUUUAAUGUUCCUUGAAGAAUUACACCCCUUAUCCCUUAUUAAUAAAGCUUUCUAAGUUAGCAAAACCCUAAACCUAUAUUUUUUCUCCAAUUUCAUUUGUUAUAUAAGCACUAAAUGUAUUGAAUGCUUUUCACUUAUACUUAUCCCACUAUCCAACCUACAACUACAUAGUACGUAUUCCAAUCCCGCUAAUUACAUAUCCUCAUAAUUCAAA